ACCUGCCCCCUUCUUCGGGAUAACCAUUGGAAACGGUGGCUAAUACCGGGUAUGACAUCGGAUCGCAUGGUUUGGUGUGGAAAGGUUUUUUCUGGUGGGGGAUGGGCUCGCGGCCUAUCAGCUUGUUGGUGGGGUGAUGGCCUACCAAGGCUUUGACGGGUAGCCGGCCUGAGAGGGCGACCGGCCACACUGGGACUGAGACACGGCCCAGACUCCUACGGGAGGCAGCAGUGGGGAAUAUUGCACAAUGGGGGAAACCCUGAUGCAGCGACGCCGCGUGGGGGAUGAAGGCCUUCGGGUUGUAAACCCCUUUCAGUAAGGAACAAGGCCAUGAUUGUUGUUGUGGUUGAGGGUACUUGCAGAAGAAGCGCGGGAAAAAUACGUCCCAGCAGCCGCGGUAAUACGUAGGGCGCGAGCGUUGUCGGGAAUUAUUGGGUGUAAAGAUCUUGUAGGCGGUUUGUCGUGUCUGUCGUGAAAUCCCGAUGCUAAAUGUCGGGCUUGCGGUGUAUACGCACAGGCUAGAGUGCUGUAGGGGUGACUGGAAUUCCUGGUGUAGCGGUGGAAUGCGCAGAUAUCAGGAGGAACACCGAUGGCGAACACAUGUCACUGGGCCGUUACUGACGCUGAGGAGAGAAAGCAUGGGGAGCGCACAGGAUGAGAUACCGUGGUAGUCCAUGCUGUAAACGUUGGGCACUAGGUGUGGGGAUUGUUACACGACUCGUGUACUGUAGCUAACGCAUUAAGUGCCCCGCGUGGGGAGUACGGCCGCAAGGCUAAAACUCAAAGGAAUUGACGGGGGCCCGCACGAGCGGCGGAGCGUGCGGAAUAAUUCGAUGCAACGCGAAGCACCUUCACAAGGCUUGACAUACGAUAGAUCGCUCCAGAGAUGGGGUUCUCCUUUGGACUGGUGUACAGGUGGUGCAUGGUUGUUGUCAGCUCGUGUCGUGAGAUGUUGGGAUAAGUCCCGCAACGAGCGCAACCCUUUUUAUAUGUCGCCAGCAUGUAAUGGUGGGGACUCAUGGGAGACCGCCGGGGUCAACUCGGAGGAAGGUGGGGAAGACGUCAAAUCAUCAUGCCCUUUAUGUCUUGGGCUUCACGCGUGAUACAAUGGCCGGUACAAUGGGUUGAGAUACUGUGAGGGGGAGAGAAUCCAUAAAACGCCGGUCUCAUUUGGGAUUGGUGUGUGCAACUAGACCCCAAGAUGUGGGAGUCGCUUGUAAUCGCAGAUCAGCAACGGUGCGGUGAAUACGUUCCCGGGCCUUGUACACACCGCCCGUCAAGUCAAGAAAGUUGGUAACACCA
rnacentral:rRNA from 1 species